rnacentral:pre_miRNA from 1 species
UUAACUCCAAUUUCUAUGGACUUGGAACGUUUGCCUACGUUUGCCGAUAGGGGCGCUAUUCCAAGUGCAUAUUGGAGUUA